rnacentral:tRNA from 1 species
CGGGAUAGCUCAGCUGGUAGAGCAGAGGACUGAAAUUCCUCGUGUC